GUAUGGUUAGCUUGGUCUUUUUGUUAUGGUUGUAGUUGUACAAUUGUACAACAUCCAUAUUUGUACUUGUUCAUCUACUUACAGUGUGAAGUUUUAAAAUCAGGCAUUUUUCUGUUACAUCUUUUGUGGCUCCUUUUCUUGUAGAGGCUUCAAUGAUGCUGUGAAUGGGUUUUGUUUGUGGGAUAUGCUUCGACGAAGACCAGCAGUGAUGAGCAGACAUCUGGUAGCAUGGUUCCUCGAACAGGUAUAUCUUGUAAGAGUAUAGUAGCCGGGGGAGCGGGAGCAGGAGCAAGAGCAGGAGUGUCCUGCUCGUCCACGAGUACGUCAUCCAUGAGGCCAGUCUCCUGUUGGAAGCAUAAAGUCAUUCCUGCUAUAUUCCUGCUAAAGGUUGAGUUGAGGAAACCCGGUCAACGACAGUUAGCGAGACGUGCUCUCCAGUCCGAGAAUCAAGGCACGAAGGCCACGCAACCACCCACGACUACGGAAAUAGAGCAUCCACUUUCGAGAGGUGGGAGGAUGACGAGCGCAGAGGGAGGAAAGACCUGAGUUCAGAAGUGGCCUAUAAAAAGGUAGCCAACGAAGGUAAAAUGGUUAGAAUUUUUAAUAUUAUAACUAAAAAGAGAAAGCUCUAAAGAACGAGUCCUAGAGAAAAGCCAUAAGAUUAGUGGCUAGUGUUCCCAAGAGCGCAAACAAAACCUUCAUAUCUGACUUGAGCGUCGGAGGGUUUACGCCGGGGAAACAACCGGCGUACUCUGACCUGCUUCUGUGUACGCAGGAACUUAUGGAGAAGAAGCCUUACGAGGAAAGGUCCUGAUCGUGGUAGAGUUGAUCGAGCAGAGAUCCUGGUCGUGUAAGGAGGGUAACCAGAAUCUCGCAUCAACAUUUUAGCGCCGUCUGUGGGGAGCUGAUAAAAAAGUUUCUGUUGAUAGUAAGAAGAGGAGUAAAGCAAGUGGAACAACAAUGGAGGUAGGAGGAAGUAGUGCCCAAGGGGGGUGAUAUGAGGUUUAACGAUCCCGUGACGUUGAGGGAGAUAGCCAGUGAAGCACGGGAAAAAGCCAUGUUUGACCGAAUGGAACGAAUGAAAAAGCAGAUGGAGACCCUGACAACCAUCCUACAUGAGCUGCGGAGUGAACGAAGGGGAACCCAGGAGGAAAGGGUGAGAAAUGGUGGAGUGGCACCAGGUCACGAUAGUACAAGGAGAAGUCAAACCACCAGGAGAUUUGGUGGUAAGAGAGGUAACCUAUCUCUACGGAAAGAAAUUCAUAGAGAGGAAGAGCAAUCCCCAGUAAGACAGAUUUUUUAUGAGAAUGAUGGGGUGGCAAAUGCAGAGGAAACAGAGUUCAGGCAACACUUACAUGAUGUAGAGCAAGAGCGGGAUCAAGUUGCAGCACGUGAUCAUGAGGGCAGUUAUUCCAAGAGAUUUUCGCCUCUUAGACCUUAGAUAUUCGGGACGAACUGACCCGCUAGUGCACAUAGAGCGCUUCAACGACAUAACCGGAGUACAAGGAUUAUCUCAAGCCCAAAGGUGCAGGGUGUUCCCACUAUCCCUAUAGGGAUGUGCACGCGAGUGGUACAGGAAACUUCCUCGGGGGAGCAUUAAAACCUUCGAGCAUAUGUGCCAAGAAUUUGCAGAGCAGUUUCGUGGGGCAAUGGCACCAGAAGAUGACAUGAUGGAGUUGAAAAGCAUGAAGCAGGGGGAGCAAGAAACCCUUCGGGAAUUCAUCAAGAGGUUUCAUCGUGCUGUCCUCGAUUUGGGAGCCUUCAACCAUCCUCAGGCAUUAAGGGGAUUGAAAGAAGGAGUGAAGAUAGGAAGGCUGUGGUAUAACUUGAGAAGCCCAGUUAUUCAGACGUAUGCAGCCGCAUACGAGCAGGCUAAGAGGGACAUAGAGAUUGAGGAAGAAAAGGCAGCACGGAUUAAGACUGACCAGCUAGAAGGGUUGGGAAAGAAAGAGAAGAGAGCAUUACCAGGGAAUGAGCCGAUCAGGAGGAGGGACCACCAGGCCUCCGGUAGCGGUGCAGGAGGUCGGGUAACUACUUACCAACCUCAUCAGAGGCUACCACAGUAUCAGCGCCGCAGGGCGCAACCUCCUCGUUCACCAGGUAAGGAGCCUUGAAGAAGGCAUAACUCGGCAUAUGGUGGUCUUCAUCCACACUCCCACGGUAGUAGAGGGAGCAGACCAGAAACGCUGCCACCGCCUCCAACUAAGAAUGGCGCAAAUAGAGAAAAGGCAGUGCACAUGAUCGACCAGAACCAGGACUAUGGGCGGUAUACUUCCUUGAAAAUGCCCCUAGACGAGGUGUACGACGCCAUAAAGGACCGGGGACUACUGUACCUCCCUGCCCUAAUCACAAAUCUACCCAGCAGGAUGGAUAAGGGACGCUAUUGUAAGUUCCAUGGCACUCAUGGCCAUACCACUGCAGAAUGCAAAGAUCUCAAGAUCCAGGUCGAAGAUUUGGUGAGAAAUCGGUACCUGGACGAGUUUAUAGACGGGACUUUCCCGAUGGUGGCCUCGACAAGUGAAGGGGAGCAGAGUGACAGAAACUUGAGGUGUGAGCAGUCUGCAGUAAGGGUGAUAACUGGAGGCCCAACAUUGGCUGGAGAUUCCAACAGAUCAAGGAAGAAUUAUGCUAGAUACGCCAUGACUAGUAAAGAGGUAUUCUUCAACACCCCAGCAGCCAAACGAGUAAGAGUUAGGCAAGUGCCAAUCAUGUGGACAGAUGAGGAUAAAGAAAGGAUUCUUUACCCCCACGAGGAUGCUUUAGUUAUCAAGGUCAUUGUUGCUAGCAAGAAAUUCGACCGGAUACUGGUUGACACAGGGAGCUCAGUUGAUGUGUUGUUUAAGUCAACUCUGGGGGAGAUGGGAAUAGCAGACCUGAAGUUGAAGUACACCAAUACCUCCUUGAAGGGAUUUGGAGGAGGAAAGCUGGUCCCUCUGAGAGUGGUUGAGCUGCCUAUCACGAUUGGGAGUUCCCCGACAAAAAAGACUAUGAUACUGGACUUUGUGGUGGUGGAUGAAGAAGGUCCUUACUAGAUGAUCUUAGGUCGGCCAUUUCUGAGGAUGAGCAAGGAGGUAUUAUCCAACCAUUAUCUCGCUCUCAAGUACAGGGUGAAUGAGGUAGUUGGAGUGGUACGAGGAGACCAGAGAAUCGCACGAAGCUGUUACUCCUCGGCAGUAAGGGAAGCAAUGCAGAUAACGUCCCUUGAUACCAGAGUAGAAAACAGGAAUGACAGACAAGAACCUGUAGAGGAGCUGGAGACAGUAAGCAUGGAACCAGAGAAUCCGGGAAAAACGAUCAGAAUCGGGUCGAGACUUAAGAAAGAGCAGAAGCAGGAGUUGGUGCAAUGCUUACAGGCUCAUGCAGAUGUGUUUGCUUGGGCACAUGAAGACAUGCCAGGGAUUGAUCCUGAGGUAAUAUGUCAUAAGCUGGCAAUAAAGAAAGGUGCUCGGGCAGUAAGGCAGAAAAGGAGGUGCUUCAACCAUGAGAGGUAUGAGGCUAUAAAUUGCGAGGUGGAAAAACUCUUGAGAGCAGGGUUCAUUCGGGAAGUCAAUUAUCCUGAGUGGAUAUCGAAUGUGGUGUUGGUGAAGAAAGCAAAUGGCAAGUGGAGGAUGUAUGUAGAUUUCACAAAUCUCAACAAGGCGUGCCCGAAAGACAGCUUUCCUUUACCAAAGAUCGACCAGCUAGAAGAUUCAACAGCUGGACAUGGCCUGCUUAACUUCAUGGACGCGUUUUCGAGAUACAACCAAAUCCCCAUGUACGAGCAGGAUGAGGAAAGCACGACUUUUAUUACUAACCAGGGUUUGUUCUGUUACAGGGUAAUGUCAUUUGGUCUUAAAAAUGCUGGGGCCACGUACCAGAGGCUGGUGAAUAAAGUCUUUAAGCCAUUGAUUGGGAGAACCAUGGAGGUGUACGUGGACGACAUGAUAACCAAGUCGAAAAUCCCGAAGGAACAUGUCGGACACCUCGAGGAGACAUUCGAGCUUUUGAGGAAGUAUAAGAUGAAGCUCAACCCGAAAAAGUGUGCUUUUGGGGUCGAGUCAGGGAAAUUCCUUGGAUUCAUGGUGAGUCAUAGGGGGAUCGAAGUAAAUCCCGAGAAAAUCCAGGCAAUCGUGCAGAUGAGGUCUCCUCGUAGCCUGAAGGAGAUGUAAAGCCUUACGGGGAGGUUGGCGGCAUUGAGCUGAUUCAUAUCCAAGGCUACAGAUAAGUGUCAGCCAUUUUUUCAAGUGAUAAGGAGGGGAAAGAAAACAGAAUGGACCCCAGAAUGCGAAGAAGCCUUCCAAAACUUGAAGCAGUACUUGCAGCAAGCACCUCUGCUAUCCACACCGAGGGAUGGGGACAAGUUAUUUUUAUAUUUGGCGGCAUCAGAUUGGGCCACAAGUUCUGUUCUAGUGAGAGAGGAAGAAGGAAUUCAGUACCCGAUAUACUACACCAGCAAGGCCCUGCUCGACGCUGAGACCAGAUACCCACCGUUGGAGAAAUGGGCACUUGCCCUUGUGGUUGUUGCUCGGAAGCUGAGGCCAUACUUUCAAGCAUUCCUAGUCUCGGUAAUAACAAACCAACCAUUGCGUCAAACUCUACACAAGCCAGAUGCUUCUGGUUGGCUCGUCAAGUGGGCUAUAGAGCUGAGCGAGUUCGACAUUGAUUACAAACCCCGAGCAGCGAUAAAGGCGCAAGCAAUGGCCGAUUUCGUAGCAGAGUUCACAGAGCCUGAAAUAUGUUUGGACCAGCUGGAUAUUGCCACAGACAGCAAUGAAGCCUGAGUAUGGUAGAUGUCUGUAGAUGGGUCAUCAGGGGAGCAUGGAUCAGGAGCAGGAAUUGUCUUGGAAGACCCAAAGGGGGAUGAGAUCUCUUAUGCUGUAAAGUUAGAAUUCGCAGCCACAAAUAACCAGGCAGAGUACGAAGCCUUGAUAGCAGGUCUGAAAUUGGCUAAGGCCGUGAAAGCAGAUAGAGUGAAGAUCAGAACUGAUUCCCAGCUGGUUGCGAAUCACGUCAGUGAAAGAUUUCAACCGAGAGAGGAGAAGAUGGAGCAGUACCUGAAGAUAGUCAGGUAGAUGAUGGGGAAAUUUGAAGCGGUAGAGGUGAUACAAAUCCCCAGGGAGCAGAAUAGUCAAGCAGAUAUUUUGGUCAGAAUGGCAGCGGUAGCAGACCCAAAAAUGCCAAAGUCGAUCCCUCUAAAGGUGAAGUCCAGCCCGAGUAUCGAGUAGAAUUUGGAGGUGCUGCGUAUAGAACAAAAAUGCUCAUGGAUGGAUCCGAUAAUUUCAUACCUUAGAGAUGGGGUAUUACCACCAGAUAAGCUACGAGCUCGGAAGAUCAGAGCCCAAACCUCGAGGUACACCAUGAUUGAUGGGGUACUAUAUCGGCGAGGGUAUACGCUACCUUUCCUUCGGUGUUUGGAAGAGGACGACGCGGACUACGUACUGAGAGAAGUACAUGAAGGAAUUUGCGGAAACCAUUCUGGUAGGAGGUCACUAGCCCACAAGGUUCGAAGGUAUGGAUAUUUCUGGCCGACAAUGCACCAGGAUGCGCAAGAGAAGACCAGGAGCUUUGUAAGGUGCCAGAGUUUUGCGAGUUUCUCCAACCAACCACCAGAAAAGCUCACCUCUAUGGCCUCCCCUUGGCCAUUUGCUCAAUGGGAAAUUGAUCUGAUCGGCCCGUUGCCAAAGGGAUGAGGAGCAGCAACACAUGCAAUAGUUGCGAUAGAUUACUUCACGAAGUGGAUAGAGGUAGAAGCCCUUAGCAGAAUAACAGAGAAGAAAACAACAGACUUUGUGUGGAGAAACCUAGUCUGUCGGUACGGGAUCCCUUAUGCCUUGGUAACGGAUAACGGCAGGCAGUUCGAUAAUCACAGCUUCAAGAAUUUCUGCCAGAACCUCGGGAUAGAGUUGAAGUAUUGCUCGCCUGCUCACCCUCAAUCUAAUGGACAAGUAGAAGCAGCCAACAAGACGAUCAAGAGGCUUCUGAAAACCAGGCUUGGAGAAAAAAAUGGUGCAUAGGUUGAAGAGCUAUCAGGUGUUUUAUGGGCAUACAGGACAACCCACAAAACAGCAACUGGAGAAACACCAUUCGCCUUGGCCUUCGGACAUGAAGCGGUCGUACCAGCCGAAAUAGGAACGACCACGCACCGGACAUAUCAUUUCGAUGAGCAGGAGAACAACGAGCAGAUGUGCCUGAAUCUGGAUUUGCUAACCGAGAAGAGGGACCAGACAUCGAAGCGAUCAACCAUUUACCAGCAGAGGGUAGCUCGGUAUUAUAACCAGAAGGUAAAUGUACGGUAGUUCAGGGUCGGAGAUUGGGUGCUGAGGAGAGUGAAUCAGAACACUAAAGACCCGACCCAAUGAGCGCUUGGACCAAAUUGGGAGGGGCCAUAUAGAGUCAAGCAGAUGGUGGGACCCGGAGCGUACAAGCUGGUUCGCACGGACGGCCACGAGGUGAAACGCCCAUGGAACGCAGCACACCUCAGGAAAUAUUUCCAGUAAGACUUGUUCAUAUUUUAAAGUUAUUUCUGUUCGUGCUCGUUGUCUUUUAUUUUUUAAGUCAAAGUAAUCUCAUGUAAGCCGAAUUAAGCAACAAAUGAAUUAAUGAGGAAUUUCAGUCAACUGUACUGUUGAAAAAAUUUUGAAGGCAUGUCUAUGGCGAGACCAGAAGCCAAGCGUGCAAGGAUCUGCUCGACCACGCGAAGACGAGCAGAAUCCCCAAGCAUCGAAAUGUUUUCUAAGGCACGAAAAGGCUCACCAAGUCUUAAAGCCUGUCUAUGGCGAGACCAGAAGCCAAGCGUGCCAGGAUCUGCUCGACCACGUGAAGGCGAGCAUAAUCCCCAAGCAUCGAAAUAUUUUCUAAGGCACGCAAAGACUCACCAAGUCUCAAAGCAUGUCUUUGGCGAGACCAGAAGCCAAGCGUGCCAGGAUCUGCUCGACCACGCGAAGGCGAGCAGAAUCCCCAAGCAUCAAAAUAUUUUCUAAGGCACGCAAAGGCUCACCAAGUCUCAAAGCCUGUCUAUGGCGAGACUAGAAGCCGAGCGUGCCAGGAUCUGCUCGACCACGCGAAGGCGAGCAGAAUCCCCAAGCAUCGAAAUAUUUUCUAAGGCACGCAAAGACUCACCAAGUCUCAAAGCAUGUCUAUGAUCCCCAAGCAUCGAAAUAUUUUCUAAGGCACGCAAAGACUCACCAAGUCUCAAAGCAUGUCUAUGGCGAUACCAGAAGCCAAGCGUGCCAGGAUCUGCUCGACCACGCGAAGGCGAGCAGAAUCCCCAAGCAUCGAAAUAUUUUCUAAGGCACGCAAAGGCUCACCAAGUCUCAAAACCUGUCUAUGGCGAGACCAGAAGCCAAGCGUGCCAGGAUCUGCUCGACCACGCGAAGGCGAGCAGAAUCCCCAAGCAUCGAAAUAUUUUCUAAGGCACGCAAAGGCUCACCAAGUCUCAAAGCCUGUUUAUGGCGAGACCAGAAGCCAAGCGUGCCAGGAUCUGCUCGACCACGCGAAGGCGAGCAGAAUCCCCAAGCAUCGAAAUAUUUUCUAAGGCACACAAAGACUCACCAAGUCUCAAAGCCUGUCUAUGGCGAGACCAUAAGCCAAGCGUGCCAGGAUCUGCUCGACCAUGUGAAGGCGAGCAGAAUCCCCAAGCAUCAAAAUGUUUUCUAAGGCAUGCAAAGGCUCACCAAGUCUUAAAGCCUGCUUAUGGCGAGACCAGAAGCAAGCGUACCAGGAUCUGCUCGACCGAGCGAAGGCGAGCAGAAUCCCAAGACAUGCAAAAAACUAAGUCUGAAAGCCAGUCAUGUGGCAAGACCACAUGCCAAGCCAGAGCCUGCUCGACCAAGCGAAGGCGAGCAGACUCUCAAACGAAAAAAUAACCCGUAAAUACAACACAAGAAAGUAAUUAAAAACAUUUUUAUUAAUUUGUUAAUAACUAACAAAGCUGGUAAUCUUCACACACAUUGUUCAUUACAAUAAAAGAAACAUGUUCAAGAAGACGGCGGGUCAGUAAGCCGAGUAGCAUCAGUUGUCUGGACCACCUCAGGUACAGGGGGCAUCACCAGUUGAGUCCGAGGGGGUGCUCGCCUCACCAACAUCAGCAGGAAUUGCACGAGGAGGAGAGUUUUCCUCCUCAACCACGAUUGGCUCCACCCAUUCAACAUCUUCCUUUGCCGCAUCCUCGUCCAUGUGUUGAGCAACACUAGCUGCAAGGUCAUCCAUCUUUAGAUCAAGAUGUUGUUUCCCAAGAACGGCCAUGAUGCAACGAUAGGAAUACCGAAGUCCCUGGUCGUACUGGUUGUCGGCUUUCUUCUCCAAGUUCUCGACCUGAACUCGAUGGGAAUCGCGAAGAGAUUCGAGCUGAGCCUCGUACAUAACCUUCUGCCUUUGCAGCUCCUUCUCGAGAGUAAUGGCCUUUGCUUGAGCAAGAGAUUCUUGCUCUAUCAGCUUUAGAUUCUCGAGAUUCAAGUCUCCUGCUUUUUUUUCGGCGGCAUCGGCUCUGGUCAUUGCCGAUUGAAUGUCCUCCUUCAUCUUCCGGUCGUAACGGUCAACCUUGGCCUUAUAGUAAGUGGUCAUGCAGCUGAGGUGGAAAGUGCUAUACUGCAUGGCCCCCACCAGCUCGCCCAAGGUGCAGCCAUCAAAAUCCUCCAGGUCCUUCUUGCUCACGAGUUUAGAUAGCUCGUUGAGAUAAGUGACCAAGUGCUCUGCUCGGUUGUCAGAUAAACGAGAUCGAGACCUGACCGGAGGAGAAGAGGAAGCGGGAUCAGUGGCUGCUCCACUAGUUUCUUUGACUUUGGCAGGAAGAGGAGGUAGAGUCUUCAAGGGAGGAACCUCAUGCACAAUGUUCACCCGCUUCGCAGUGGGAGCGUCCUUGUUCUGGUCCCUCUUUGCAGUUUGAGGUCGAUGACGUUUCCGAGUCAAAGCCCCAAUCACAGCAUCCUCCAUCUUAUGGCCGGGGGGCACCAAACAAGACUCGAGCAGGUUAUAAGUAGUUAUUAGCUCUCGGCUCGAGCAGAAGUUGGCCAGUACAGCCUCGACCCGUUUGAGCUGGUUAGGUUUGAGUGGGAAGUGAACACCCCAAGAACCUACAAUACAAACAGACAUUUGGUUAGAGACAAACCAGUAAAGUGAGAACAACUAGAGAGACCAAACAUUUGAAACGAGCAGGUAACCUGGGACCAUAAAACAAGGUGGGACGCGAAAAUCUUCCCAUCAACCUGUGCAACUUGACCCCAGGGACCCCCAGCGAAAAAGAACUUCUUCUUUCAAUUCCCACCACCACCAGUAGGAAGGUCGGUUAUGGGUUUCCUGGUCUUAGUACUUGAUUGGAAGUAAUACCAGCCGAUAUCUUUGGGGCUGCUUUUCAGCUGGUACAGGUGCUUCACCUCGUCAACCGUGGGCUCGCUUUGGCAACAUCUGUCCCACAAUAUGAACAGACCAGAGAGCACUCUCCACCCAUUGGGGUUCAGCUGACCAAGAGAGAGAUUUAGCCCGUUAAGUAUCCGGGCAAAGUAGGGUUGCAAAGGGCACCUCAUCCCAUUCUUAAAACUCUACAGGAAUAGGGUAACAUAUCCCCUAGGAGGUCGGCUAGGAGUAUCCUUCUUUUCUGGGACUUUUAGAAGUAUUUCACUAGGAAUACUAUACCUAAGCCGGAGGUCAUCGAGCUCGUCAAACGUGGUCGUGCACGUCAUGUAAUCAAUGGCAUAAUCCCGUGAUAGGGCUCUACCUCCUACUGUACUCCGCUCUUCUGGUCGUGAUGUUCUUGAUGGGGAUACCUCACCAGAAUCACCUCAUCCAUCCUCACUCAGGGUGUUUUCCGAGCCGGAAGAUCCCUGCUCACCGCUAUUUCCGCUCGAGGAGGUUAUUUGAGGGGACAUCCUCCUAGCGCUAGUACCAACACUAGAUCUAAUGGGUUCUAAGGGGAUCCCAGGGUUAAAAGCAGGAUCGGUGAGCAGACUAGGCAAGAAGUCUAACUUAUUGUCAUCAACCUCAAUGAUUUUCUCUUUACCCUUUGACAUUCUCUAAGCUAUAACUAGAGCAACACCACCAAAUACUACCUAAGCAAAACAGAAAGAAAUGAUAUUAUCUAUAACUAUCCGAGACCGAGGAGAUAGAAGUAAUACCUGAAGAAAUGACUUAGUCGGGGAGAGACAAGGAUAGAGGCUUUUGUUCCGGAGCUUCUUUACCGGAGAGACAGAGACAAAGAUGGAGUAAAUGACGAAUUUCUCUUUUGAAAGGAUCUCGGGUUUCCUAAUGAAGUACAAACUCUUGGGCUGCCAGCAUUUAACGGCACAAAUCCCAAGAGUCACGUAGCCGUCGGUUUGAUAUUCAAACAGAGGGGGAGAUUUCUGCCACAUCACCUCGUCCGCAAUUAAAUGCGACACGACUCUUGGCAGCCUUUUCCUAUCCCGCGCGAGCAAGAACUGUUGAGUUUCUAUUGUCGGCUCACUACGUUGCCCAACACCAGAAACUGGGGGACCGGUGUUUGUGGGAUAUGCUUCGAUGAAGACCAGCAGUGAUGAGCAGACAUCUGGUAGCAGGGUUCCUCGAACAGGUAUAUCUUGUAAGAGUCUGGUAGCCGGGGAAGCAGAAGCAGGAAUGUCCUGCUCGUCCACGAGUACGUCAUCCACGAGGCCAGUCUCCUGUUGGAAGCGUAAAGCCAUUCCUGCUAUAUUCCUGCUAAAGGUUGAGUCGAGGAGACCCGGUCAACGACAGUUGGCGAGACGUGCUCUCCAGUCCGAGAAUCAAGGCACGAAGGCCACGCAACCACCCGUGACUACGGAAAUGGAGCAUCCACUUUCGAGAGGUGGGAGGAUGACGAGCGCAGAGGGAGGAAAGGCCUGAGUUCAGAAGUGGCCUAUAAAAAGGUAGCCAACGAAGGUAAAAUGGUUCGAAUUUUUGAUAUUAUAACUAAGAAGAGAAAGGUCUAAAGAACGGGUCCUAGAGAAAAGCCAUGAGAUUAGUGGCUAGUGUUCCCAAGAGCGCAAAAAAAACCUUCAUAUCUGACUUGAGCGUCGGAGGAUUUACGCCGGGGAAACAACCGGCGUACUCUGACCUACUUCUGUGUACGCAGGAACUUCUGAAAAAGAAGUCUUACGAGGAGAGGUCCUGAUCGUAGUAGAGUUGAUCGAGCAGAGAUCCUGGUCGUGUAAGGAGGGUAACCAGAAUCUCGCAUCAACGGGUUUAAUAAUGAUGGUUGGUUGUUGACGACCUCUUAUGGUGAUGAAGAUGUGAUAAUUGCAGUUAAUUCAACUAAGAGUUUGAGCACUGCAUCUAAUCCUUAUAAU
rnacentral:lncRNA from 1 species